UACGUAGGGGGCAAGCGUUGUCCGGAUUUAUUGGGCGUAAAGAGCGUGUAGGCGGCUUGGCAAGUCCUCUGUGAAAACUCGAGGCUUAACCUCGAGACGUCGGUGGAAACUGCCUGGCUAGAGUCCGGAAGAGGAGUGUGGAAUUCCUGGUGUAGCGGUGAAAUGCGCAGAUAUCAGGAAGAACACCUAUGGCGAAGGCAGCACUCUGGGACGGUACUGACGCUGAGACGCGAAAGCGUGGGGAGCGAACAGG
rnacentral:rRNA from 1 species